rnacentral:misc_RNA from 1 species
CCGAGUUUACAACUCCCAAACCCCUGUGAACAUACCAUAUCGUUGCCCUCGGCGGGCUCAGCCCGUGCCUCCGGGCUAAACGGGACGGCCCGCCAGAGGACACCUAAACUCUGAUUUCUAUAUGUGAAUCUCUGAGGGCUAAACCCAUACAAUAAAUCA